GUUGGUCUAAUUGAAGGCAAUGGAGAAGUAAGUCUUUAUAGAUAAAAAAUCUUAGUUCUAGAAAAGGCCUAAGGCAAUAGCUAAUUGAGACUAUGCAUCAAUAUUCAGGCAUCGUCACUAAAGGGCACUGCGGAAGCGCUGCGUGAGAUGCAGCACCUGUCAGAAAGGGGGCUGCAUUUCAAAUGAGGAAUAUCAUAUUGUAUCACAAUAAAUAAAGACAGGGUUUCACCAUGUUGGCCAGGAUAGUCUUGAUCUCUUGACCUCGUGAUCUGCCGGCUUUGGCCUCCCAGAGUGCUGGGAUUACAGAACAGAAGAAACACACGUGUUCUUGUGUAUAAACCCAGUUCAUAGAAGAGACAGUCCGCUUGUCCCUCCUGAUUUCUGGGCCCAGACAACCAGUAGUCACCAUUCCAAGUAACAGGUGGCCGCAACUCUACAGCCCGUUCGUCUCUUCUCACUGUCAAAGCUGCUGAGACCCCAGACUCGACACUUGAAAGAAACCCACGUCUGUGAAGCACUUGUGGACCAUUCAAGAGAAGGAGAUAGCAAUAUUUGCAGAUACGCAAGCUGGCCCCUUGUAUGCACAUCCGGGAGCACAUCCUGGAGCCUUUAGAGGAGAGGGCUGCUGCUAUUCCAGUCUCUCCUUAGGCAGACUUGAGUUUCCACCCCCUCUUCCCAAGCAGCCGCCCCUCCGCACUCGAGCAAACCAGAGCCCUGGCCAGCUGGGUACUCACUGCGCGCUGGACACAUGCUGAGCCGGCACUGCAGGGACACUGGGCGAGCCGCUGGAUGCAGACCUGUGGCCGUGGCAGUUGGGCUUAUCUUGCCCAUGAAGUUGCCCCUGAAGAACCAAGUCCGACUGUGUAUGCUGAGAGAUGUCUGGCUACUUCCUGACUGACGGUUCUGGCAAGGUGGCAUUGGGUCCUGGCUUUUCCUCUGAAGGUGUCAUCACUUAUAGGAAAAUGUCCCCUGAAGUCCAAGGAUCAACGCUGCUGGAACACUGACAAGCUGAACAAAGGAGAGCUGCUUUUCAUCAAACCCAGACUUCCAGACUUCCAAUAGGGUAGAAUAAGCAAGUCAGCAAGUCAUCUUCCUUGGAAAAAUGAUAAAACUAGGUGACACUGUCAACAACAGUCAUUUCAGAAAUCUAGAAAUUGACCAAAGGCAAACAACAAACUGAGAAGCAUUUUUUUUUUCAUGAAAAACGGCUCUAUUUCUGCAAAAAUAGUGGUAGUCUAUGGCUUCUCACCCAGGACUGCUUCCCUCCCCACCCCAGCUCAGUCAGUACAAAGGUACUGGCAGCAUGAGGCAGAUUGAACAGACCUGAAGUUUCAUCGCUGGAAGAAACUCACUCCAGGUUUGGCAGAGGGUGAGAAACGUACUCCCAGCCAUGUUGUCAGGUGACAUGGUGAUCUUAGGGCAAGUGAAUAGGGAAGGCCAGUGAUUCAUUAACCAGAGGUUGCAGUCCUGGUUGGGGAAAGCAUCAGAAUGGCAGACAAGCUAGAAAUUUAGUAGGGAUAUGCUGGAAAUGAGACAACCCCAAAGGGUCUUGACCCCAAAGUUGUCCACACACCUCGGCUGCCUUCUGAGCAGGUAUAGGAAGAGACCAGAGAAGACCUAGGCUAUCCAGACAUCCCUGGCUAACCCAGGCUGUAAACCUGCGGAGGAGACAUAAAAGGUGGAUUGAUUGCUAAUGGGCACAUGGGGGAUCUUACUGGGUUGAUAGGAACGUUCUGAAAUUGGAUUGUGGUGAUGCUUGCACAACUCUAAAUUUAUCCCA